GCUGGUGUUUCACUCGCAUGUGCCCCACCUCUUCCCAUUCCGAACAGAGAAGUGAAAGCAUGCGCAACUGAUGAUACUUCGAGCUUCGGCUCGGGGGAAAGUAGGUUAUGCCAGCA
rnacentral:rRNA from 1 species